CGCGGCUGCGCCGCAGGGGCCCGGGCGGCCCUUUGCCCGAGGCGGGCUGCGGGUUGCGGGGGUCGGGUGCGGAGGGCCAACUUCUGGGAAUAACCUGGCUGUGGGCUUAAAAAUCGUAUCAUUCAUUAUCACGGGCUUCUCUUUCUCGAAUACCUUUAACAUUUAUCGCCUUGUUAGUCUCCACAUCCACCUCCGUGAAAGGGAUGUCUUGAAGAUGCUGAAGAAUAAACACAGAGUUCAGAGGAUGGAAGAAACUGUUAUACCAUCUACAAUGAUUUGAUAUGCCAUUUGCAACCGCAGUUUACCGUGGGUUGUUGAAACCACAGAAAGUGAAACUGGAUAAGGAGUUCUGGAGGCUGAGAAGUCCAAGAUCAAGGCACCAGCAGAUUUAGUGUUUGGUGAGAGCUGUCUCCUUCAUAAAUGGUGCCUUGUUGCUGUGUCCUCACAUGGUAGAAGGGGACCCCACUAAAAAUUGGACUGUUCAACUCACCUGGCAACCACUCCCAGAGCCCCUGGAACUCCGGCCCAGGGCUCUCUGACUGACUCCUUCCCAGAUCUUCUUGGCUUAGCAGCUGAAGACUGACACUGCCCGAUCAUCUUGGAAGCCUCUUGGACCAUCACAGAUGCUUUGGGUAACUCUUACAGUGGAAGGUUCGCAUGUCGCCCCUGAUCCUGCUUGAAGCAGCCCUGAGAAACAUCACCCAUUAUCUCUCCAUACCACCCCUAAAAAUUUUUGCUGCCCUAACACUUUACCAUUAUUAUUUUUUUUAUUAAUAUAAGAAGACAGGAAUGUCAGGCCUCUAAGCCGAAGCUAAGCCAUCAUAUCCCUUGUGACCUGCAUGUAUACAU